rnacentral:rRNA from 1 species
UACGAAGGGUGCUAGCGUUAUUCGGAAUUACUGGGCGUAAAGCGCGCGUAGGCGGUUCUGCAAGUCAGUUGUGAAAGCCCCGGGCUCAACCUGGGAAUGGCAGUGGAAACUAGGGGACUUGAAUCUGGCAGAGGGGGGUGGAAUGCCGCGUGUAGCAGUGAAAUGCGUAGAUAUGCGGCGGAACACCGAUGGCGAAGGCAGCCCCCUGGGCUGAGAUUGACGCUCAGGCACGAAAGCGUGGGGAGCAAACAGG